ACGGUAGAGUGGACGCAGAGCACGCGACCCAGACAGCGUGUUUUUGUGACGUGGGACGGAGCUGCGUCACCUGCUUUCGGGAUAGUCGUCAUCGCUGCUGUGGAUUCCUCCAUCUUGUCUGGAUGCUGACAUCUGGAUGUUGGGCCGUACCAAAGGCACGUGUGUCUUGGCCCGUCGGAGGCGGCCGGCUGCCAGGACUCCUCUCAGCUCGCUCCCCGAAGACCCCUGGCUCCGCGGAAACAGGAAAUGGUAAUAGUAUUGCACUGCUUUUCCUCCCCCUAUCUGUAUCCCCAUUUCUCUCCUCUGAAUGAACAAAAAAAAAAAAGGAGAAAAAACAGACGUGUAAUAACAUAUGUGUGGAAAAAUGGCCCUAGACCAUAAAAUAAACCAAAGGUACACAUAGUGUUUUUUUGCACUUUCUUUAAAAUCCAUG